rnacentral:rRNA from 1 species
CCUACGGGGGGCAGCAGUGAGGAAUAUUGGUCAAUGGGCGCAAGCCUGAACCAGCCAAGUCGCGUGAGGGAUGACGGUCCUAUGUAUUGUAAACCUCUUUUGUCGGGGAGCAAGGCCCGCCACGUGUGGCGGGAAGGAGAGUACCCGAAGAAAAAGCAUCGGCUAACUCCGUGCCAGCAGCCGCGGUAAUACGGAGGAUGCGAGCGUUAUCCGGAUUUAUUGGGUUUAAAGGGUGCGUAGGCGGAAGUUUAAGUCAGCGGUAAAAUGUCGGUGCUCAACACCGGCCUGCCGUUGAAACUGGUCUUCUUGAGUGAGCGAGAAGUAUGCGGAAUGCGUGGUGUAGCGGUGAAAUGCAUAGAUAUCACGCAGAACUCCGAUUGCGAAGGCAGCAUACCGGCGCUCAACUGACGCUGAGGCACGAAAGCGUGGGGAUCGAACAGGAUUAGAUACCCCUGUAGUC